rnacentral:misc_RNA from 1 species
CACCUCUCGAGUCUCACUCGGUAUUGGGGCAUGUACUUCGGUGCAGCUCUUGAAUUCAGUCGGCUGGUAUUUUCUACCUUCAGCGUUGUGCAAAUAUCGCUUUGGAAUAGUUAAGGCCACGCCGUUAAACCUCUUUCAAUAA